rnacentral:rRNA from 1 species
GACGAACGCUGGCGGCGUGCUUAACACAUGCAAGUCGAGCGGUAAGGCCCUUUCGGGGGUACACGAGCGGCGAACGGGUGAGUAACACGUGGGUGACCUGCCCUCAGCUCUGGGAUAAGCCCGGGAAACUGGGUCUAAUACCGGAUAUGACUCCAUGACGCAUGUUGUGGGGUGGAAAGCCUUGUGCGGCUGAGGAUGGGCCCGCGGCCUAUCAGCUUGUUGGUGGGGUGAUGGCCACCAAGGCGACGACGGGUAGCCGGCCUGAGAGGGCGACCGGCCACACUGGGACUGAGAUACGGCCCAGACUCCUACGGGAGGCAGCAGUGGGGAAUUUUGGACAAUGGGGAAACCCUGAUCCAGCCAUUCCGCGUGAGUGAAGAAGGCCUU